UGACAAAUGGUUUUCGAUGUAACAUUUGAGCCAUCUUUCCUGCUUCAACUGCUAACACUUAUGAAGGUAAUCAAGUGGCAACAAGCACCUCAAGAGUAUAUCACGGAAUUAAUGAGGUGGCAAGCAGCACGCCGCCGACAAUCAGAAAUUGCCUCGCAAGCCUGCCCCCCUGAGCGUCUGUGUGAGCCCCAUAUGAGUUUUUAGUGUCAGAACAGGCAAUAAAAAGAAAAGAAGACACACGCGGUAGAUGGAAGAGAAAGAGGAAUGACAAACAAGUUGUAAAAUGCAAACAAGGAUAUCAUGGAAAUAAAAAGGUGCCGGAUGAAUUCCAAUAGCACUGUAACAUCUGUUUCAUCCUUUAA
ensembl:ncRNA F56E3.15 ncRNA